GAUGAACGCUGGCGGCGUGCUUAACACAUGCAAGUCGAACGAGAAGUGAAGACGGAAACCUUCGGGCGGAAGGCUUUAUUUCGAGUGGCGGACUGGUGAGUAACGCGUGGGUAACCUGCCUCAUACAGGGGGAUAACAGUUUGAAACGACUGUUAAUACCGCAUAAGACUACAGCACCGCAUGGUGCGGGGGUAAAAACUCCGGUGGUAUGAGAUGGACCCGCGUUCGAUUAGCCAGUUGGCGGGGUAACGGCCCACCAAAGCGACGAUCGAGAGCCGAUCUGAGAGGAUGACCGGCCACAUUGGGACUGAGACACGGCACAAACUCCUACGGGAGGCAGCAGUGGGGAAUAUUGCACAAUGGGGGAAACCCUGAUGCAGCGACGCCGCGUGAGUGAAGAAGUAUUUCGGUAUGUAAAGCUCUAUCAGCAGGGAAGAAAAUGACGGUACCUGAGUAAGAAGCCCCGGCUAACUACGUG
rnacentral:rRNA from 1 species